AGUGAACGCUGGCGGUAGGCCUAACACAUGCAAGACGAACGGCAGCACAGUAAGAGCUUGCUCUUACGGGUGGCGAGUGGCGGACGGGUGAGGAAUACAUCGGAAUCUACUUUUUCGUGGGGGAUAACGUAGGGAAACUUACGCUAAUACCGCAUACCACCUACGGGUGAAAGCAGGGGAUCUUCGGACCUUGCGCGAUUGAAUGAGCCGAUGUCGGAUUAGCUAGUUGGCGGGGUAAAGGCCCACCAAGGCGACGAUCCGUAGCUGGUCUGAGAGGAUGAUCAGCCACACUGGAACUGAGACACGGUCCAGACUCCUACGGGAGGCAGCAGUGGGGAAUAUUGGACAAUGGGCGCAAGCCUGAUCCAGCCAUACCGCGUGGGUGAAGAAGGCCUUCGGGUUGUAAAGCCCUUUUGUUGGGAAAGAAAAGCAGCAGGUUAAUACCCCGCUGUUCUGACGGUACCCAAAGAAUAAGCACCGGCUAACUUCGUG
rnacentral:rRNA from 1 species